rnacentral:rRNA from 1 species
AGUGGCGGACGGGUGAGUAACGCGUGAGAAUCUGCCUUGGGGUCGGGGACAACCACUGGAAACGGUGGCUAAUACCGGAUAAGCCGAUUGGUGAAAGAUUUAUUGCCCGAAGAGGAGCUCGCGUCUGAUUAGCUAGUUGCUGAGGUAAGAGCUCACCAAGGCAGCGAUCAGUAGCUGGUCUGAGAGGACGAUCAGCCACACUGGGACUGAGACACGGCCCAGACUCCUACGGGAGGCAGCAGUGGGGAAUUUUCCGCAAUGGGCGAAAGCCUGACGGAGCAAGACCGCGUGAGGGAGGAAGGCUCUUGGGUUGUAAACCUCUUUUCUCAGGGAAGAAGCUCUGACGGUACCUGAGGAAUCAGCCUCGGCUAACUCCGUGCCAGCAGCCGCGGUAAUACGGAGGAGGCAAGCGUUAUCCGGAAUUAUUGGGCGUAAAGCGUCCGCAGGUGGCGAUUCAAGUCUGCUGUCAAAGCACGGGGCUUAACUCCGUAAAGGCAGUGGAAACUGAAUAGCUAGAGUGCCGUAGGGGUAGAGGGAAUUCCCGGUGUAGCGGUGAAAUGCGUAGAGAUCGGGAAGAACAUCGGUGGCGAAAGCGCUCUACUGGACGGCAACUGACACUCAGGGACGAAAGCUAGGGGAGCGAAUGGGAUUAGAUACCCC